rnacentral:rRNA from 1 species
GGGGGGGGGGGGGGGGGGGGGGGGGGGGGGGGGGGGGGGCGGAGGGGGGGGGCGGUGGGGGGGUGCGCGAGUGGCGAACGGGUGGGUAAAACGGGAGUAACCUGCCCGUGGCUUUGGGAGCACGUCAGGAAACUGGGGCUAAUACCGGAUAGGAGCUCAUGCUGCAUGGUGGGGGUUGGAAAGUUUCGGCGGUUGGGGAUGGACUCGCGGCUUAUGAGCUUGGUGGUGGGGUAGUGGGGUACCACGGCUUUGACGGGUAGCCGGCCUGAGAGGGUGACCGGCCACAUUGGGACUGAGAUACGGCCCAGACUCCUACGGGAGGCAGCAGUGGGGAAUAUUGCACAAUGGGCGGAAGCCUGAUGCAGCAACGCCGCGUGCGGGAUGACGGCCUUCGGGUUGUAAACCGCUUUCGCCUGUGACGAAGCGUGAGUGACGGUAAUGGGUAAAGAAGCACCGGCUAACUACGUG